GUCUGGCUGGCAGACGGUGUCGGCUGCGGCGCGGUUUCAGGCGGCGUUUCCUUCGGUUGUUCCACCUUUUUCGCCGGUUU
rnacentral:tRNA from 1 species